UUAUAAAAAUCUAAAAUUAAUUACUUAAAAAUUAAUAGUUAAGUUCUUUAAAUUUAAAAAAUUUGGCGGUAUUUUAGUCUUAUUAGAGGAACCUGUGUUUUUAUUGAUAUUCCACGAUUAAUUUUACUUAUUUUGGAAAUUCAUAUAUCGCUGUCAUGAAUAUAUUUAAAAAUUCAUUUUCUUUAAUUAUUUUAAUAAUUUAUGUUAAGUCAAGAUGUGGUUUAUAAAUGAGUUAAUUAUGGGUUACAUUAAAUUAUAUUUUUAGAUUUUAAAUGAAAAUAAUGAAUGAAAUUGGAUUUAAUAGUAAUUUUAAUUAUUUAAUUAAUAUGAAUAUAGAUCUAAAAUAUGUACAUAUUGCCCGUCAUUCUUAUUAAAAAUAAGACAAGUCGUAACAAAGUAAGUGUACUGGAAAGUGUACUUAGAAAAA
rnacentral:rRNA from 1 species